AAACAAAAUAAGUUGGCAAAUUCUUGCAGAAAUAAUAUCAAUGGAACUUGAUGCUGAUGCUACGCGUCCAGGCACACCAUUCCCGUCGAAUGUCAACGAAUAGACCACGAGUACAGUCUUACUAUAGAUGCAAGGACGGUUUCUCACCUCAAUGAAUGCUUUCAGGUCAAGAAAGGAUACGAGGUAGGAGCUAUGGGUAUUGAAGAACAUGUAUUUGUUCAAGCACUAUUGAUGGUAUCGUCAAAGAUUAACAGACAGGGCCACCGAGAGCGAGGCAGAGCCCCAAGGUAACCAAUGCGCGUAGGCCCCUUGCUGGACAAGGAAUAUAGUUGGCAGAUUAUGAGAAUUGAUAUAGAUUUCAUGACUACAGGCCCUAGAAUGGGCCGUAGCCCCAUGGCUCUAGCUUUGGCCACCCUCUCUGUUGGCGGUUUUGGGAAGAGAAUCUAGAAUAUAAGUCACUCUGAAACAACACAUGACCCUGUCAGUAAGGAAUGUAAUAUUGCUGGCAAACAUGCUAGGAGAAAGAUAAAAGAACUGGGAUUAGCAAAGUCCUCUCGUUAGAUUAUGAUGCUGAUUAUGAUAUCGUGAAGAUGGCAUGUGUUGUAUCAGGUGGUAAGGAAACCGAGGCUUGGAAAGACACAGGUCUCCUGAACGUUGGAAUUUCGAAGUUUCUAUCAAGGCGUCCGGGAUAGAUGGGUGGAUAGAAAAUUCCUCAAAGCCUAACAAAGAUGGGGGGAGACAUACCAUGUAAAAAUAACGUAAAAUGAAUUUUGAAGAUAAAUACUAGCGUAUUCCGAACUUGAGAGUGGAUCAAUGAUACAUCAAUGUUUGGAUUUUUCAAAGCUAUUUAUACUUCAAUGAAAUUCCUUUUAUGUUACUUUCUUGGGAUGCAAUGCCACAAAGAGAAUGGACGAUAUUGGCGAAACCUGCAGUUUAAGCAAAUCAAAGUCCGAGUGGCUUGUGAGAGUGCAUCGAUUGCCAUAGUAGGUAAAUGAGUAGAAGCUGUUAUACAAAAUGCACGUAAACAUAUUGUGUAAGGAACACAUCCCUGCAAAGUGUUUAAUUAGAUAAACUAGAAAUUAGAUUAAUUAUCACAAAUUAGAUAAUAAAAAUUAGAUUAGAAUCACAAAAACAAACCAUCGCCGACCACACAAGGUAGGUUUGUGUUUCCACCAAGAACGGGACCGUUCCCAAACUAGCACGGAACCAAGAUGCUUAGUAUAAACGCAAGGCCUAUCGUCGCUUUUUCAAGCACGGAACCAAAGAGUUCCGUUCUUUUUUCUGUAGUGUAAACGGGGUCUUAGAAUCACAAACACCACCCAGACAAGGUAGGUUCAUGUACUGUCAUAUUUUUCUACAGUGUUAUUUCAAUUCUAUUUAACGUCAGGGUGUUCAACCGACCAAUUCUACUUCUGUCGGCCAGGUCCUAAAAAACUGGGGGUGCCAUACUCCAUGCAAUGUCAGAUACACGCCUGUAUGUGGGGUAGGAUCUAUAACCAAUUGCUUGUUGCCCAAGAGGAGCUUGACGACUCUGGUUCUUUUUCUCUAGAUAUAAAUCUUAUCUCAUCUCAAGACCUGUUGAAACUACCAUACACUGUACAUUUGGUAGCAGUGUGGGGUCUAGGGGCUUGGAGGGGCUGUCUAGGGGCUUGGAGGGGCUGUAGCAAGACAUUGAGUCGAGUGAAGAUUUAGGAUUUAUAUCAAGAGAAGUGGAAUAAUAAUGGAGAAUAAUCGGUAGUUGCGACAGUUUUUCUUCUUUCCCCAAACGAAUCGAUAAAGUUUAGGCUGCAUAAAAGGCAUGUUGAAGCGCGAUGCUGCCAACAUUAGACAGACACGAACUGAAUGCGAAGGCAAUUAAAAGGAACAGGAUUUACAAAAAAACUUCUUUCAAAGGGUAAAACGAUACUGUAUGCUCCAGUUAAAAGGAAAAACAAGAGAAGCAUGAACAAAGCUAGAGAAGGAAAAACUUUAAUAACAAAGAGCCUGAUCGGUUAUUUUACCACAAACAGUCCACAGCACAACCACAGGGCUCAUAUCGUGAUUUUGGGCCUGAUGAACCACGACCUUAUGUGAGAUUAGGAAGCUUGGUGCAAAAGAUCUGGUCAGGAUACUUUGGAUACCAGAGUCUCGGUGAAAGAGAUGGUCGAACAGUGGUCUGACGUCCACACACUCUUUCACUGAGGCUCUGGCACCCAGGGUCUGGUCAGUAAAUCAUAAAUUGUAGAAAUGCGUGUUUGCAAGAACUUAGAUAAAGAUCAGUUUGUUUAUGAUCUAAACAUGAUUGGGCAGGACAAUGCAUUAGCUAUCACAGACGGGUUUCCUGCCAACAUGGCAACAUCUUCCUUUGCCCCACUGCAUGCCAGACAUAAGAAAAGGCAAGUUUAAAGUCGACAGGCACCUUGGUUGUCGCCGUCCGUAAAGAAGUUAACGAAGGAGCACAAACGCGUUGCCCAGUACAAUAGCAACUCGAACAAUCCAAAGCACACGCGGAAAACAGUAAAUUUUAUCUUAGAUCGGAACUCAAAAACAAGCAAAUCAGUUUAAAGGUCAAAUAGUUCAGUUAUUGAAACUCAAAGAAGAGUCAUUUGGUGAGCAUUUUGAAAGUGUUGGCACAGAGUUAGCGUGUAAAAUCAGGACUUCUGCCGAUGAUGACCCAACCAGGCACGAUACGUCUGCUAGGUACAAAUGAAGCUGGUGAUAGUUAUCGAGAGUCUCAUUAGGCACUUGCACCGUUUUACGCCAGCCGGACCUGAUAAGAUGCCAGUGCUAUAUGAGAUACCACAGACAUAAUAUCAGCCUCUAUCUUUGAUUUCAAACAGCCCUUUGCAAAAUGCUAAUUUCCAAGGUUGUGGAGAAUUGCAGGGCUGAUAACCAUUUUCAAAUCAGGUAAAAAGACAUCUGUCUUUUCAAGACUACAUGAAAAGUUUGUGCAUGAUCAGCUACGUGAAUUCCACGAAAUAAUGUUCACAAGUUAGUUUGCCUUUCAAAACAUGCAAUGUACCGUGGACCUUAAGAUGGUACUGAUGCAGUAAACCGUGGCAUCCUUUGUCAAAACUUACUCUCUGUGAGAAUGUUGAGGUUUAUCAUAUUUGACUAGCCUCAAAUCUAAGUAACAAAGAGUAAUUCUACAAUCUGAAUGGUUAAUAUUCUUGCUAAACAAGCAAAGACUGUGGUGUUCCAUAGGCCUCAUGUUUGGGGUCACUGCUUUUUAUACUGUUUGUGAGUGGCUUGGAGCUUGCUUCCAGCAAUCAUCUCCGAAUGUUCACGCUUGUGACACGUCAGACUUGAAUGAAAGCACGAAAAUAAACCCCGGUAUAAGUAGAAAUAUCAUUUGAUCAUUGGCAAUACUAAGAAAAUUUGUCAUAGUAAGAGCCACUCUCGGAAAGUGGUUGAAAAGAAUAACAAGUUCGUUAACAUUUUUCCCAGCUAGGAGCGCAGUGGAGUAUGGAUAAAUAGUUGGAAGAAUAUGUGUGCAAUAUUUUUGACAAACAACAAAAGAUAUAGAUGCAGUUUUUAUGAGAUCUUAAAAAACGUUAAUCCAAAGAAAAGAAAGAUUCAUGAUUUUUCUUUGCUUUCUCUAUGUCGACAAUCAUUACAGUUGCACUGCCAAGGAUCAAACUAAAUCACAAAGGUUUAGAGACAAACAAACAAACAUUGAUUUUGCUUAUUUCUAGAAAAAUUAAUCGUCAACGGACGGGAAAAUAGCUUCGAUGGAUGCUGCUUUCCCAGAAAAAGUAGAACAAAUUUUGGCUGGGAAAAUGAAAAUGAUGAGAGCAGUGACGAAAGCAAGGACGAGGAACCAAGUGUCAGUGACAGAGACUCCUUGUGAAGGGCAGUUUAUCUAGGAAGAAUUAUUCCUCGGCAAAGCAAUGUGGUUAUCUACGUUAGCUGCAUUGCUGCCUGAAGGGGGGAAAGUGCAAACGGCUACUUCUAUUCGAAAGGUAUUGCAAAUGGGAAUCUUUUGCAAAGUUUGAUUAUUGACAAAGAUUAUAGACGAUUAUAUUUUUGCAACUCGGGGUCCACCCAUGAACUCAAGAUGAGAGUCUUGACGAAAAAGAACAGAUAUACAUCAGAAAUUUCAAAUCAAAUGAAAUUUUGUGGGAAACAUAAAGAAAAAGAUUUCUACAUUAAACAUUAUCAGCGUGUUGAAGGGUAGUUUAGCUAGCAAUGUCUUACAUUCUUAGGGAAUCUAACGAAAGUAUAAAAGUGGUAGAAAGCAGGGCUAAUAACAUGCUAAUUUCAGCUUAUUAGGUAUUAUGAUUAAGUUAACUUGUUUUGUAAAGAGGGGGGCGAUGAUUAUCACCAAGUGUCAAAACUAUAAAAUAAAAAGGAGUUUCAAGCGGUCGGGAAUUAUCCGUGGCACUUUAACUGAACAGCGACAGGCUGCUGAUAUGAAAUCCGAAUGCCUCUCUGCGCAGGCGCCAUUUGCUAAGCCGAAAUGCUUUUGUUCACCGCACACGAGAAGCAACAUUGAAUUUUAUCAUUUAGGUCUGAUUUUUGAACUUUUUUCCACGAGCUAUUAAACCGCACACGAAGUAUUUUGCUUAGGCGAAUUGUCAUUCGUGGCAUUCAGGUCCCGCGUCAGUGCAGCUAUAAAAAGAAAGUUCGUCCCCCCUGUAGCCCUAACUGUGACAAUCAUUUUGCUUACUUGUUGGCUUUUGGUUCAAUUUGAUCUGAAGGUUUAACUAUAUCAGUUGACUUUAGUCUUUUAUUUAGCAAAAAAGUGGGUAGGUCAUGGCCCUCCUGCCCCCCUAUGGCGGGGGCCCUGGCAAAAUGCUCUUCUAGUGUGCGCCUGGCCUAAGCAAAAUGCCACGAAUGACAAUAAGGGGAUAAAGUGUUCUAAAUUAUCAAGAUAUCAACAUUGUGUAACAUUUAGUUCAAUUUCAGUGUUGUAUCGGCAAAAUUGAUAAAGUCAUGAAUCGUAAUAUAACAUGAUUGGCUUAAUCGGAUGGGAAUCCCACUGCAGCGAUUCCUUUUGCAGCCAAUCAUGUUUGAUGCUCAUAAAGCCGGUAACAGUAAACCAAGAUCAAAACAGAUAAUAAUGCUUAUACAUUUCACUGGAGAUAUCUUGGGGAUGCCAACGAUUCCAGGGGAUGACAACAGUUUCAGGAGAUGCCAACAAUUUCAGGGGAUACCCAGUCUUAAAAACUAUUGCUAAACUCAAGCAGACGAUUAAAACCAUUGAAAUUAAACGGCUCGUUUCUUCGCUUAAGGUGUUAUUGGUCUCAAAGUAGCUACUAUUGAAAAAGCCAGAACUUGCCCAACCUACAAUGACUGUAAAAUCGCCUUAAUUCUCCUCGGGCAUCAUAUUGAAAUCCCCUUGUUAAUGCAUGAUUGAUGUAGGAAAUUUGGUUUUGGCCAUUAAUAGCCUACACACAGACUCUGAAGUAUCUUACCAGAGCUGUAGAGUCUGCGAAUUAACCUCAAAAGGCUUGAAAGACACCUUAGGUAACACCCGUUUCCCAAUAAUUCUCUAGAGUCUGCGCGCAGGCUACCUAUGAGGUGAAACUUUUCACAGUGAGGACAAAAUUUUUUUUUGGGAAACGCCUCUUUACCAACAGGAAACGCCUAUUUAAACAUUAGGUAACGCGCGCUUCUAUCUUUAACUAUGUUAAGGUUGUUUCAAGAUCAUACCCUCCCCCAAAGCAUCCAACCUUUUUCAUCCAAUUUAGAAGAAAUGGGAAAUCGAAAUUAUUGUUUCUUGGGGAGGGAAGCAUUGGGCCGCUACACACCGGUAGUAUCCAUUUUGUAUUUUGUUUAAAUCUAACGAGAAAACAUUAGGGAUGGGGUUGUAUUUGGAAAAAGUAUUUAUGCAGUUUGACUCUAUAGCUUCUAAAUUACCCAGAUGUACCCAGAAAUUAGUCACGUGCUAUCCGUUAAAAAAUGUUUUUGGACAACCAACGGUGCUUGGCUUAAGGAUUUCUAUUUUGCUGCACAACCCUCUCCCACAUCGCAGUGGAAAAGAGCAUUCUGAUAUCUCACAAAAAGGAAUCGUUAUCGCGAAGCUGGGGGUUAUGUGUUGGGUUUUUGUAAUGAUAGUGAUGUCUGAGUUCUGCAAAAUCGAAACUGAAAGCUGCCCACCAAUGGAAAAUGAAAGUUGACCUUUUAAGGUGAUUCCACAAAGACGAAUAACAAUAGCAAAUUUAGAUCGAUCGAAGGCAGUUUGUAACACAUGUAACUCAUUUUGCAAAUUGGCAGUAAUUAGGGUCAUUCUUUUGAAAAAUAUGAUCCAAAUAAAAAAUAAAGCAGAAUAGAUUUACAUUGCCGCUCUAUUAACAAGCACUCUGACAAAGCUCUUUCAGGUAUCAAAGGACAAUUUCUGCAUGUGAUAAUUGGUAUUUAUUAUAUAGAAGAUGUAAUAAAGGUUUAUUCGUUCAGACUUGGCAACGAUGAUCUGGGCCUGAGUAAGGUGGGUGCUAUGGUGCUGCAGCAUUAGGCCCAAUCCUAAAAUUGGUCCAGAUGAAAACACACGAGAGUUUCCUUGAGGCUGAAUAAACAAUAAUAGACCUUUUUAUGAUGUAGCAUCACGCUUAGCUUGCAAAUGGAAAACGGUUAGAAAAACGGGAGAAAAUGUAAAACUUGGCUACUGCUCAGCAUUGAUAUAGAAGCUCGGUCCCCUUAGCCCCCUUAGCCCCCUUAGCCCCCUUAGCCCUCUUAGCCCUCUUAGCCCUCUUAGCUCCUUACGCCCUUAGCACUGCAAAUCCGGUUGGUUAGAAUCUGAUCUUGUCUUUAAGAUAUUUACAAGAAGCUGAGAAACUAACUGCAAUAUAAAACUCUGAUUACUAUAAAAACCUAAUUAUCAUUAUAAUGGGAUAAAAUUAUUUUUGAAUAACUGUUUUUCGUAAUCCGAUACUAGAAACAUGCUGGAUACACUGUCAUAUGAAGGGUUGCUCUAUUUUUGAAAGAUCUCAGGUUAGAAUGAAAGCUAUGAGUCUUGAAGAUGUGCUUUUGCUGUAGUUUCAAACUCAAAUUAGUAUACCCUGUUGUUGAAUACACCGGUUAAAUGCAUCCAUCUUUGUGUGAACAUAGAGUUCUUUUAAUAAACGACGAAUUCUA